rnacentral:sRNA from 1 species
AGUGGUUUAGCGGCGUGUAACUCGAGGUAAUUAAUUGGUCUUCGACUGCUUGCUCCAACAGACACCAGACCCCCAAACAACGUCGCCUCAGCAGCUUGCCCUGGUUAGCUCCGUCGUUGCGCGGGCUCUCCAUGUAGUUACCGACUGCCGCUGCCUAGACCGCAAUGACGUAAGUAACUAACUACAGAUUACCAGUCAGCUGCGUGCUGAUUUGUCUGGUUACAUGUAUGGACAGUACAGGGCGCAGACCCCUGCUGGUAGUACGCGUAAGAACAGCUACGCGUACAGCCAGUCCACACAGAACAUGCAGUUCUUGUUUGGGGGUUUCAUCUCCACGAGUAGAUAUCUAUAUAUAUGUAUUGAUCCAUCUCGAGAGUACGGAGAGCAUGCAUGAAUGUAAUCACCCCCACCCAUCCCAUUGCCCCAUCACCUCAUGCUUUUGAGAACUCACUCUUUUCUGCCAUCAAUUCUACCAGUAUCAAGGGCAGAUCACAACCUCAAGCAUAAACAAGACAAAAUACGGAUGAUAAUAUAAAUAAAUAACUUCCCCCUUUUUCUUUUCACAUCUCACCAUUUAACCCCAUGAACUAACCUGACGGGAGAGAGAGGAAGAAGGGUAGGAACGGGCAACGUUGUAUAUUCGAUCGGAAUCUUCGUAUGGCAGGGCAAAACAAUACAUGAUGGAAUGUGUUUGAACAACAAUCAACACAUAAAAAUCUGAACAAAAUGUCGUGAAUUUGAGAAGGGAUCUUCUUGGAGAGGUGAGGUGCGGGGGCAUCGCAUACAUUCAGUUGAGAGGGAUUACAAACUAGGGAAGGGAUAAAAAUAAUUAAGGAAAACCAGAAAAACAAUUACAAUUAUGAAUGCAAAAGGGGAAAGAAAAAGAAGCUAAAACAAAAGGGGAGGGGGAGAGGGGGGUUGGGGUGAGGAGCGUCGUAAUGAAUUGCAAGAGGAUCAGAAAGCCGGGAGUAGAGAAAUCAGAUGGAAUGGAGAGAAUAAACAUUUCAACUAAGAUGAUAAAGUUGAGAAGAAAAAAUAAAAUAGAAUAAAAAAGCCUGUUCUGUCCGCUCUUCAUCCUUUUGCCUUCGAAGCUUGCCGAAAUCUAAAAUCCAAACACUAAAACUACCAUUUAGAAACCACCCAUAAUAUACUCAUCAACAUCCCUAUGCAAAUCCAUUGGAUCAAUCUGAUCAGGCCACCCUCUUGCUGCAUCAGAAUCCGUGAACCGUCCGCCAUCGCCAUUGGCGAAACUAUCAAGUGCCGGGAAAUUGUGAACAUUCCGCUGCGACCCCAGGCUGUGGUCGAAAUUUGCAUGCUUGCUAAUACCGUCAAUCGACGUAGUGGAUGGACUUUCAAAGAGUGUAAAAUCACCAUUCGGCUUACCCAUGCCAAUAUGGCUGUUGUGAUUAUGAUAAUUGUCAUAACCAUCGUGAAACCCUUCAUCCAUAUCGAUAUCCAAAUCCAAAUCCAAAUCUCUUUCCCGCUCCUGGGAGUUGGGCGAAUAGAGCAUCAAAUUACCCUGGCCGGCAGGAGAGAGGUUAUGGUUGAUGUUGGACUUCUGUUGCGGCUCCGGGCAUGUUGGAGAUGGAUUCCGCGAAAAGGAGCGCAAUCCGUGCACCUCGACGGAUUGCGCGGGCGUGAGUAACUGCAUGUUCAUGACUGUGUACUCAUUGUCAAGGUUAUCGAAGUCGACGUUGAAAUUUGGGGUUGGAUGUGUUGGUUCGAAGGGCGAUUCGUCCGUCAGGCUACCAGGUCCCAUAGGCCCGGUUCCAUCGGGCGUGGUCGCGCUGGAGGGCACGGAGGGAAUGUGCAUGUCCAGGCUUGGGACAUAUUCAUUUGGAUCACCAGCUUCCAAACUGGCCUGGAAGGCACUGAAGUCCAAUUGUGGUGCAAAGGGGUUGUGAUAUCGAAGUCAUCAAAAAGGUUGUGGUUGUGGUUGAAUCCGGAACAGUUGGAAGUCAUGAUUGUGUGAUCCAUCAUGUCAUCCAGUGGGUAACCGCCAGAAGGGCCGGUAUACUGCAAGCUCUGAUCGUAAGGCGAGACAUUAGGCGCAUAAGGGGACGGGCCCGGAUGGCUCUGAGGAGUUGGUAAAUCCAUAACUCCUGAAUUGGGAGUUUGGAUAUUAGGGGUCCGAGGAGUGGGCUGGCCUGACGUUGAUCCCGACACUCGGCUGCCGCUUUUGCCGUUGUUCUUGGAUCGAAUAUAGACCCACCCGUGUGCUUUUUCCAUAUGCUGCUUGCAAUUGCUCUGGCGCUUGGACUGGUAGGUACAAGGAGCAAAGUGGCAUUUGAACAAGGGCGGGGAUUUGGAGUGCUUGUCAUUCACAUGACGGUCUCUCUCUUUCUCAGUUGGCCAGCCGAUUUCGAAAUAUUUGCAUGACUUCUCUGCACAUUUCCAUGGCCUCGAAUGAGUUUUCUCAUGUUUAGUAAGAUCGCAGGGUCUCUUGAACACUUUAUCGCAGUCUUUGCAUUUCUGGUUAAUGUCAAGAGGGGGAGCAUUUUUCUUUCGUCGAGCCAUCGAACGAGCAACGCCGUCAUCGCAUGAUUCCAUGCUCAGGGAGCGUUUCAUGAUUGGGACAGCAGGCGAUGCCUUUUCAUCGUACGGGUUUCCAGUACGAAGGGAGAUAGCUUGCUUAUCCUUCUUUCGUCGGACUAAUUCAGCGGGGCGUCCGGUUGCACCCAAGCCGCCUUCAAGGGUGACUUCCUCAUCAGAUGAAUAUUCCAUGUUAUUCUCUGCUAUUCUCGAGCGGGGGCGAGGGCCCUGCCUUUCUCGAGUAGCACCGACCAGAGCAGCGUACUGUCGCAUCUGUUCGACGAGAUCAAGGAAAUAGCCGUUGGUAUACGGACGAUCGGAUGGCCGUCGUUGAUCGCGGUCAUUCAAGUACCCAACCGUAGUAUGAAGGCACUGGAUGGUAAAUUCACAGAAUCCGAGGUAGACUGCUUUGGAUUGGGUGUACCGCGGAGCUAGGAAAAGAAUAGUCUUUUCAAGAUCUCGAAGACAGGCGAUCUCUUUGCUCUCAAUCCGCUGGGGUACGCUACGGAUUAAAGGAUGGAAUGGGGAGAGACGUUUUUCACGAAGAAUAGGAACGAGAAUAAAGCGAUCGAUGUGCUUGCGAGCAGCAACGCCAAAGCUGGGGAUUUGAGCUAAGGCAGUGGUAGAUGAAAUAGAUCUAGUAAUGGCAGAUUGGGUUGAGACAAUUUUACCCUCCUCUUGAAAGGAAUGAGUAGCUUUGCGAACUUGUUCGCGUGUAUCGACAGACGAAGACAUGCUAGCACCGCUGAUGGACGAACCGAUACCACUGUCACAGGAAAGACGACGGCGUCGAUCCUGAUCGCGGACAGGUUUGAAAGUUUUAUCUUUCUGUAUUGAGUCUACCUCAUUCAUAGGGUCAGUGUUAGUCAUUCGGGCCUCCGGCAUUCCACGCGGAACAGGCGAGUCGUUAUCACAGAAAGUGUUGUCCAAACGAGGAGCAGAAAGGUCGCUUCCGAGACCAUAAGGGCUACGCUCGAACUUGUCUAAGAACACGGCCCUUCGUCCUUCACCGGCCGCAAUGACAUCCUCCAGAGCCUUGGGACAGGUAGGAGAGCGUCGAAGCAGCGAGUGGAUGUUGAAGAUUGGAUCAGAGUCCUCAGACGGCGGGGUCGUUGGAGAGUGGAAGGUGGCACCUUUCUUCAACUUCAUGCUAUGGGGUGUUGAGCGACAUGUUGAGUCGGAUGACGACUGAUCUGAAGUAGAGGACGAAGAAGUAAUCGAAAGAUGGGGGAGGUUCUUAUGCUGAAGAGGUCGACGGCGUGAAUGAACCUGGGGUGCGGACAUACUUGCGACGAGGUGGGAGGGGGGGAGUCCCUGGCUGGAAAGCAAAAGUGAAUUAAGGCCACUAUUCAGAAUCAGGAACCGGGAUCUGCGGGACAAAGGGUCCUCAAUUCAGAAUGGACGCCCAGAUGAUUGGCAGUAUAAGGGUAGAAUACAAGAAAACUAGAUUCAAUGUCUCUCAGAUCACACCGACAAUCCCCUGGACAGACCAUCCACUGGAGAAAUAUCCAAAGGAUGAGAUGAAUCCAGAUUGAUUGAGAAGAGCUGUAUGAAGACAGAGCCAAAUAAAAAGCAAAAAGGAUGCUUGAAAACGUCCCUUGAGUCAAAAAGCAAAACGGUAUGAGAAAGGAAGCCAAAAAACAAACAAGCGCUGGAUGACGAAACGAGCCGGAGACGCCUGGCGAGUGACUCGCGGGCUGUUGAGGGUGCAAAUGGAUGACUGAGGAUCGCAGCACAGAGACUGGAAUGAAGACAAGAGCGAG